UACGUAGGGGGCAAGCGUUGUCCGGAUUUAUUGGGCGUAAAGAGCUCGUAGGCGGCUUGGCAAGUCGGGUGUGAAAACUUCAGGCUCAACCUGGAGCGGCCACUCGAUACUGCCAUGGCUUGAGUCCGGUAGGGGACCACGGAAUUCCUGGUGUAGCGGUGAAAUGCGCAGAUAUCAGGAGGAACACCAGUGGCGAAGGCGGUGGUCUGGGCCGAAACUGACGCUGAGGAGCGAAAGCGUGGGUAGCAAACAGG
rnacentral:rRNA from 1 species